GAGUGUUGUCGGAAGUGACGCAGAUUGAUGUGAAGUCUCGCGAAAGUGCGUAGCGGCCAUUUUUCCUCCAUUGAUUGCUGUUUUGCUCACAGUCCGAGCAGAAAGAGGGUAACACAGAUUAAACUGGAUUAAGAGCCCUUUAGCCCUAAAGUUGAUUCUUCGACAUCGCCUGGUUUUGCCUAACACACUCAGAAUGGUGUCCGAAAGCGACUCGCAGAGCUCUUGUUGACAGCGGACCGCGGCUGGAGGAUCAGAUGGAAAUGGUGCCCAGCGAAGAAAAGCAGUUUGUGCCCAAAGAGAUUGGAAGUGCAGCGGAGGAGCCGAGAGUGCUGUGUAUAGUGCAGGACACCACCAAUGCCAAGACCGUCAAUGAGAGGCUGACGCUCAACCUGCCCGCCUCCACCACCGUCAACAAACUCUACGAGGAUGUGGCUCACAAGGCUGGAUAUGUGAACGGCACUUUCUGCCUGGCGUGGGCUAACACUGGCAACAUGGCUCCUCUGGACCAGGCCAGUGAGAUGUCCCUGGUGUUGUCCGGUUUUGAGGCGGGGAAAAGAAAUUUCCUGCAGCUUACGGACAAGGACGGGGAGCAGCCUCAGAUCGCUUCAGAUGAAUCUGGCACAGCGGACAGCAGUGGUCUUGAAGACAGCUCUCAGGAUCGCUUCAUUGGACCCUUACCGCGGGACGGAACUGUGGGCUGUAGCAGUGACUAUAGCAGCCCCAGUUACUCGUACUCCUCCAUACUUAACAAAUCAGACACAGGUUAUGUUGGUUUGGUCAACCAAGCAAUGACCUGUUACCUGAACAGCCUCCUGCAGACCCUGUUCAUGACCCCUGAGUUCAGGAAUGCACUCUACAACUGGGAGUUUGAGGAGUCUGAGGAGGAUCCGGUCAACAGUAUUCCGUACCAGCUUCAGAGGCUGUUUGUGCUUCUGCAGACCAGUAAGAAGCGCGCCAUCGAGACCACAGACGUGACCCGCAGCUUUGGCUGGGACAGCAGUGAGGCCUGGCAGCAGCACGACGUCCAGGAGCUUUGCAGAGUCAUGUUUGAUGCACUAGAGCAGAAGUGGAAACAGACCGAGCAGGCUGACCUGAUCAACCAGCUUUACCAGGGCAAACUGAAAGACUAUGUGCGUUGUUUGGAGUGUGGCUAUGAGAGCUGGAGGAUUGACACGUACUUAGACAUCCCUCUGGUCAUCAGGCCCUUCGGGGCCAGCCAGGCUUUUGGCAGCGUGGAAGAAGCCCUGCAAGCCUUCAUCCAGCCUGAGACUCUCGACGGUCCCAACCAAUACUUCUGCGAGCGCUGCAAAAAGAAAUGUGACGCCCGCAAGGGCUUGAGAUUCCUCCAUUUCCCAUAUCUGCUGACUCUGCAGCUGAAACGCUUCGACUUUGAUUACACCACUAUGCACCGCAUUAAACUCAAUGACCGCAUGACCUUCCCAGAGGAGCUGGACAUGAGCCCCUUCAUCGAUGUUGAGGACGAGAAAUCACCUCAGACAGAGAGCUGCACUGACAGUGGGGCGGAGAAUGAAGGAAGCUGCCACAGUGACCAGAUGAGCAAUGAUUUCUCCACGGAUGAUGCCGUGGACGAGGGCAUCUGUCUGGAUAACACCAGCAGCACAGAGCGGGUGCUCAAACCAAAGAGCUCCUUGACCUUUGAACUCUUCUCAGUCAUGGUGCAUUCUGGGAGUGCUGCAGGUGGGCACUACUACGCCUGCAUCAAGUCCUUCAGUGACAGCCAAUGGUACAGCUUCAAUGACCAGCACGUCAGCAAGAUCACGCAGGAUGACAUCCGGAAGACAUAUGGCGGAUCCUCAGGGAGCAGAGGCUAUUACUCCAGUGCCUUUGCCAGCUCUACAAAUGCAUAUAUGCUCAUGUACAGACUAAAAGACCCCUCCAGGAAUGCAAAAUUCCUGGAAGUGGAGGACUUCCCAGAGCACAUAAAGAGACUGAUGCAGCGAGAGAAAGAGUCUGAAGAACAGGAGAAGAGGCAAAGAGAGAUUGAGCGCAACACAUGCAAGAUCAAGCUAUUCUGCAUGCAUCCAGUGAAAAUGAUGAUGGUGGAGAAUAAGCUAGAGGUUCACAAGGACAAAACUCUCGGAGAAGCAACAGAAAUGGCAUACAAGCUGAUGGAUCUUGAGGGAGUGGUGCCACUGGACUGCUGUCGAUUGGUCAAAUAUGAUGAAUUUCACGAAUAUCUAGAACGUUCGUAUGAAGGGGAGGAAGACAUGCCUAUGGGUCUGCUGCUCGGCGGGGUGAAAUCUUCAUACAUGUUUGACCUGCUCCUGGAGAUCCGCAGGCCUGACCAAGUGUUCCAGCCCUACAAACCUGGAGAGGUGAUGGUGAAGGUCCAUGUGGUGGAUCUGAAGAGUGAGUCUAUUGCUGCUCCAGUCAGUGUCAGGGCUUAUCUCAACCAGACUAUUACAGAGUUCAAGCAACUCAUUGCACAGGCCACGGGGCUUUGUGCGGAGACGAUGCGUGUCGUCUUAGAGCGCUGCUAUAAUGACCUUCGGCUUCUUUACGUGCCCAACAAGACUCUGAAAGCAGAGGGUUUCUUCAGGAGUAACAAGGUUUUCGUGGAGAGCUCAGACUCAACGGAUCAUCAGGCCGUUUUCACUGACUCUGUUUUGUGGAAGCUCCUGGAUCGGCACGGGAACACAAUCAGACUGUUUGUCUCCUUGCCCGAGCAGUCGCCAGGCUCUUUGGCCAAUAGAACUAGUUGCCCCAAAGCUAACGCUGACUCUGAGGACUCUUUGGAGGGGGCAGAGGGCAGCAGGAAGUCAGUGGAGGCCAUUCUUGAAGAGAGCACAGAGAAGCUGAAGAACCUUUCUUUACAACAACAGCAGCAGCAGCAGCAGCAAUCCUCCAGCACCAGUGACAGUCAGAAGAGCUCAGAACACAGCGACUUCGAGCACAUUGAGUCACCAGCACAGGAGCCGGAUGCUGCCUCGCAGUCUUCCCAGAUGGAGAACUGCACACGGGCCGCCUCAGACACGGAGAACCAGUUCCCCUCUGAGGAGCGCUCUGACUCAGACGCCAAUAACGACCGCAGCACCAGCUCGGUGGACAGUGACAUCCUGAGCUCCAGCCACAGCAGCGACACGCUGUGUAACGCCGACAGCGGCCCGCUCCCGCUGGCUAACGGCCUCGACUCGCACAGCAUCACCAGCAGCCGGCGCUCCAAAGCACACGAGGGGAAGAAGGAAACGUGGGACACGGCGGAGGAGGACUCUGGCACGGACAGCGAGUACGAUGAGAACGGCAAGAGAAAAGCUGACUCCCAGUACCUGUACUUCAAAGCAGAGCCAUACUCUCAGGAGGACGGAUCUGGAGAAGGACAGAAAUGUUUACUUGUCCAUGUUGACAAGAGGAUCACACUGGCAGCAUUCAAACAGAAUCUAGAGCCAUUUGUUGGAGUCCCCUCCACUCAGUUUAAGGUCUUCCGGGUUUAUGCCAACAACCAGGAGUUUGAGAGUGUGCGGCUUAAUGAGACGCUCUCUUCUUUCUCUGAUGACAACAAGAUCACGAUUCGAUUGGGACGUGCACUGAAGAAAGGAGAAUACAGGGUGAAGGUGUACCAGCUGCUAGUCAAUGAUCCAGAGCCCUGUAAGUUCCUUUUGGACACUGUGUUCGCUAAGGGAAUGACUGUUCGACAGUCUAAGGAGGAGUUGCUGCCUCAACUCAAAGACCAGUGCAAACUGGACCUCAGUAUAGAUAGGUUUAGACUCAGGAAGAAGACCUGGAAGAACCCAGGCACAGUGUUUCUGGAUUAUCACGUCUAUGAGGAGGACAUCAACAUCUCCAGCAACUGGGAGGUGUUCCUAGAAGUCCUUGAAGAAUCAGAGCGGAUGAAGUCCAUGUCCCAGUUGGCGGUUCUGACCCGUCGCUGGUGCCCAGCCCAGAUGAAGCUGGAGGCCUUCCGGGAGGUGGUGCUGGAGAGCAGCAGUGUAGAGGAGCUCAAGGAGAAGCUCAGUGAAUUGAGUGGAAUUCCUCUUGAAAACUUGGAGUUUGCCAAGGGACGAGGAACUUUUCCUUGUGACAUUUCAGUGUUGGAGAUCCAUCAGGAUUUAGAUUGGAAUCCUAAAGUCUCCACCCUCAAUGUCUGGCCACUCUACAUCUGUGAUGAUGGCGCCGUGAUCUUCUACAGGGACAGCACCGAGGAGCUCAUGGAGCUGUCUGAGGAGGAGCGCAAUGAACUGAUGAAGAAGGAGAGCAGCCGCCUUCUGAAGACGGGCCACCGGGUCAGCUACUCCCCCCGCAAAGAAAAGGCCCUCAAAAUUUACUUAGACGGAGGGCCCACCAAAGACCCUGGACAGGACUGAGAGGGGGAGGAAACUAUCCUUCCCUAUUUUCUAUCUGGCCUGCCCGCUGCAGUGUAGCACUGCCUCGCCAGCGACCCUGGCGUUUGGGCCCCACGUUGAAUCAACGUCACCAGUGCUGUCCAGCUGACGCUCUCUUCUUUGAGCUCCAGAACGCAUAGUGUGGCUCCGAGUACAAUUGUGCACCAUAGUUUAUUGUACUGUAAAGUUUAAAGGGAAGUGCAAAAGCUGUUUCAAGUUCAAUAUCAUUCAGAUAAAUCAAUUUAAUAAUACAGAGAUGGGUGCACUCGUUAGAGAAAAGGGGGCAGUUUGGGAGAUAUUUUAUCGCCCUCUUAAUUUCUUUCAUCUGUUUGCACUCUCAGUGCACCAUCUCCAUUGAUUUUCGUCCCGUCGUUCUGCAUUUGCUGUUUUUCCAUCACUCUCUGAUUUUGAGAUGCAAUCAAACGUAUCAAAUUCUCACGUUCAUAACGUCCAUCAUCCCGAGUCUUUUCAGCACUCGAGCACAGCGCGUAACGUAUCCAGCCACCUCCAAAUGCCCGCAUCUUCCAUUGCAUAGAGCUCUUCAAUCGACUCCAGUCAUAGUGACACUUUCAAUUGAAAUUUUGGGUAUGAUGCUCACACUUGAAUAUUGGGAUAUCUCUGCUUUUGUUUAUUUAACACAUAGUUGUGAAAUUAAAUGCUUCUUUUCUGGCUGAAGAGGUUCUAUUCUUGCAAUUCAUGCUUCCUUUUGUGUGUGGGUGUCGCCCACCGACUGCUGAAGCUCCACCCACUUUAUAGGGAGCCCCGCCUCCUCUCACUACACUUCCUACUGGGGCUUUUGACACUGGUACAUAUGAAUUUGCAAGGCUUUAAGAGUAGGGCGAUAUGAAUCAAGUAGUGUGCUUUGUUCACCCGAUUCAUUUUUUUGUUGUUUUUUUCUUGUAAAUUAUUUCACUACAGACUGAUGACGACGAAGUUAGGUCUUGUGAGUGACUUUUAAUGGCACGUGUUUCAAUUUUUUUUAUCUGUACUCGGCGUUUCUUUUUUCCAUUUAGACAUGUCUUGUGUUUCUUUUUCAUUUUUUGUUUUUAUUUCUGCACAAUGUGAACAGAGCCUCCUGUUGGUUCAGAUGUGGUGUGUGUGGAAAUGCUUCUCGCUGCUGUUUUCGCGUAGCUGGAAAGCAGAGGGUGCAGACGCCCCACUGAAUGAGCGGCAGUGUCAGAGCUCGACUGAACCGCUGCAGGUUUCUGGGCUUCUAAUGCUGCCACAAGCCGUUCUCAGUAGACUUGCCAAUACUGAAAUAAAAAGCAACAAUCAGU